UGGGGAAUAUUGCACAAUGGAGGGAACUCUGAUGCAGCGACGCCGCGUGAGUGAUGAAGGAAUUCGUUUCGUAAAACUCUGUUCUAUGGGAAGAAAAGGACUGUACCAUAGGAGAAAGCUCCGGCUAAAUACGUGCCAGCAGCCGCGGUAAUACGUAUGGAGCGAGCGUUGUCCGGAAUUAUUGGGCGGAAAGGGUGCGCAGGCGGCUUUACAAGUUGGAUGUGAAAUAUUGUGGCUCAACCACAAACGUGCAUCCAAAACUGCAAAGCUUGAGUUAAGGAGAGGUAAGUGGAAUUCCUGGUGUAGCGGUGGAAUGCGUAGAUAUCAGGAGGAAUAACGGUGGCGAAGGCGACUUACUGGACUUAAACUGACGCUCAGGCACGAAAGCGUGGGGAGCAAACAGG
rnacentral:rRNA from 1 species